GAUGAAGAACGUAGCGAAAUGCGAUAACUAAUGUGAAUUGCAGAAUUCAGUGAAUCAUCGAGUCUUUGAACGCACAUUGCGCCCCCUGGUAUUCCGGGGGGCAUGCCUGUCCGAGCGUCAUUGCUGCCCUCAAGCACGGCUUGUGUGUUGGGCUCCGUCCCCCCGGGGACGGGCCCGAAAGGCAGCGGCGGCACCGAGUCCGGUCCUCGAGCGUAUGGGGCUUUGUCACCCGCUCUGUAGGCCUGGCCGGCGCCAGCCGACAACCCAUCAUCCUUUUCAGGUUGACCUCGGAUCAGGUAGGGAUACCCGCUGAACUUAAGCAUAUCAAUAAGCGGAGGA
rnacentral:misc_RNA from 1 species